GGGGUUUGAAACUCUUCACGAUUGACUUCAAAACAAAUUGUCAAUAUUUUCUACCGGUGCAGGCAAGACAGUGUGAAGGUGUGCUGGAGUCAGAGCAGAUCCCUACCAGCUGCAACUCGUUGCAUAAUCAAGACCUCUACAAAUUCUCAGUCCUGCCACUUCCACUCUGCCAGAUCAUAAUCUCUGCUCAUUACUGCUCUGUCUCCUGUUCCACAUCUCACCACCCAACUCCCUUGCUCUGGAUUUUACUCACCACCACUACCUUGGAUUCCCCUCAGGAUCUGUUUACCUUGCUCUACUCAGCCAACUCCAACCUCAGUCUCCACAUGUUUUUUCUGCAACUCAUCCGAGCUUCACCGGAUCUGCACUCCAUAUCUCCCUGUGUAACAAUUAAUAUUUUGGUUCAUUCAUCCCAGUUUCCUCAUCUGAGUUUGCUCUUGGGUUCCCCUGUCUCAUUCCGCUUAACAUGAAAUUGAUUAAUAAAUUAGAUUUAUUAGAUGACCCCAUAGCUUAAGUUAUGCCUAAUGUGUAGCCCUUAUUUUAUUAUGGUUUAUUUAUUUGCUUUUGUAUAUUGGUUUGUUUAUUUAGCUAUGGUGUAACCCUUGUGCUCUGAUUCAC
rnacentral:lncRNA from 1 species